rnacentral:rRNA from 1 species
ACUGCUCAGUAACACGUGGCUAAUCUGCCCUUAGGACGAGAACAACCCCGGGAAACUGGGGCUAACUCUUGAUAGGUGAAGAACUCUGGAAUGAGUCUUUGCCUAAAAAGAUUCACGUUAUCCUCGUGAACCUGCCUAAGGAUGAGGCCGCGACCGAUCAGGUUGUUGGCGAGGUAAUGGCUCACCAAGCCUUUUACCGGUGCGGGCCGUGGGAGCGGGAGCCCGGAGAUGGGUACUGAGACAAGGACCCAGGCCCUACGGGGCGCAGCAGUCGCGAAACCUUUGCAAUAAGCGCAAGCUUGACAGGGCUAUCCCGAGUGCCAUCCGCUGAGGAAGGCUUUUACCCAGUCUAGAACGCUGGGGGAAUAAGGAGAGGGCAAGUCUGGUGUCAGCCGCCGCGGUAAUACCAGCUCUCCGAGUGGUGUGGAUGUUUAUUGGGCCUAAAGCAUCCGUAGCUGGCUAGGUAAGUCCCUUGUUAAAUCCACCGAAUUAAUCGUUGGAUCGCGGGGGAUACUGCUUGGCUAGGGGACGAGAGAGGCAGACGGUAUUUUCGGGGUAGGGGUGAAAUCCUAUAAUCCCGGGAAGACCACCAGUGGCGAAGGCUGUCUGCUAGAACGCGCCCGACGGUGAGGGAUGAAAGCUGGGGGAGCGAACCGGAUUAGAUACCCGGGUAGUCCCAGCUGUAAACGAUGCAGACUAGGUGUUUGGACGGCCACGUGCCGUUCUAGUGCCGCAGGGAAGCUGUUAAGUCUGCCGCCUGGGGAGUACGAUCGCAAGAUUGAAACUUAAAGGAAUUGGCGGGGGAGCAC